rnacentral:rRNA from 1 species
UACGGAGGAUGCGAGCGUUAUCCGGAUUUAUUGGGUUUAAAGGGUGCGUAGGCGGACUGUCAAGUCAGCGGUAAAAUACGGGGGCUCAACCUCCGCCCGCCGUUGAAACUGACGGUCUUGAGUGGGCGAGAAGUAUGCGGAAUGCGUGGUGUAGCGGUGAAAUGCAUAGAUAUCACGCAGAACUCCGAUUGCGAAGGCAGCAUACCGGCGCCCAACUGACGCUGAAGCACGAAAGCGCGGGUAUCGAACAGG